rnacentral:lncRNA from 1 species
GAGAAUCAAGGAAUCAAUGGUGACGUAGGGAACACGAUUUAGACAGGUUCGGACCGCUAGAUCGCGUAAUACCCUACAUCCUGUGUGUUGGUUUGUAUUGAUGUGUGUUCUGGUCCUGAGGGAUCUGUUUUGAGGGGGGUCCCUACCCGGCCUUAUAUACCCGGGAGGGCAGGGUUACAAGUUUGAGUCCUAGUCGGGUACUAUUAUAGAGUUCUACUCGGUAUCGUCCUGAGUAGUUUUCCAUAAAUAUACAAGACUAGUCCGCGUAGGAUACGCCCAUCCUUGUUCUGA